UGGGGAAUAUUGGACAAUGGGCGCAAGCCUGAUCCAGCAAUGCCGCGUGUGUGAAGAAGGCCUUCGGGUUGUAAAGCACUUUUAUCAGGAGCGAAACGCUGUCGGCUAAUACCCGGCGGAACUGACGGUACCUGAGGAAUAAGCACCGGCUAACUUCGUGCCAGCAGCCGCGGCAAUACGAAGGGUGCAAGCGUUAAUCGGAAUUACUGGGCGUAAAGCGUGCGUAGGCGGUUUCUUAAGUCUGCUGUGAAAUCCCCGGGCUCAACCUGGGAAUGGCAGUGGAUACUGGGAGGCUAGAGUGUGUCAGAGGGUGGUGGAAUUCCCGGUGUAGCGGUGAAAUGCGUAGAGAUCGGGAGGAACAUCAGUGGCGAAGGCGGCCACCUGGGACAACACUGACGCUGAGGCACGAAAGCGUGGGGAGCAAACAGGAUUAGAUACCCUGGUAGUCCACGCCCUAAACGAUGCGAACUGGAUGUUGGUCUCAACUCGGAGAUCAGUGUCGAAGCUAACGCGUUAAGUUCGCCGCCUGGGGAGUACGGUCGCAAGACUGAAACUCAAAUGAAUUGACGGGGUCAUAGCUGUUUCCUG
rnacentral:rRNA from 1 species